rnacentral:rRNA from 1 species
AGCAGUCGCCGCGGUAAUACGUAGGGUGCAAGCGUUAAUCGGAAUUACUGGGCGUAAAGCGUGCGCAGGCGGUUAUAUAAGACAGAUGUGAAAUCCCCGGGCUCAACCUGGGAACUGCAUUUGUGACUGUAUAGCUAGAGUACGGCAGAGGGGGAUGGAAUUCCGCGUGUAGCAGUGAAAUGCGUAGAUAUGCGGAGGAACACCGAUGGCGAAGGCAAUCCCCUAGGCCUGCACUGACGCUCAUGCACGAAAGCGUGGGGAGCAAACAGGAUUAGAUACCCCCGUAGUCCCUGUCUCUUAUAC